AAGGCUGCAAGGCACAGGAAGGGUCAGCAGAGCUCGGAGGUGGAGAUGAGGAGACCCAGGCACUGCGGUUAGGUGCGCCCAGGGUCAGCAGCUCAGAACCAGGCAAGCUCCGUGGGAGCCCGGCUGCCUUCUCAAUGAGCGAGUCAAAGAGGGAUGGGCUCCCCGAGGUCGGGCAGCCUAAUGGCUGUCGGCUGGCCUUCUGUAUCACAGACGCAGGGCCGCCCUGAGCUCUGGCUCUGUGGUGUUGGUGAGGACGGAGGACCUGCACUCUGAAAACCUCUCCAGGGAUACCAGAGAACAAGCUCUGGCUCUAGGACCCUCUUGGAGAGCCCUGCUCUCACCAGCCUGCAUGUGAUCCUGGAGACCAGCCCGCGAAGGAGAAUGGCUGCCGUGGCUACCGGCCUGGGGGCAGAGCAGGACCCCACCUCCCAACACUGGUCCCUUCUGCUGUCCUAGGCCAAUGGCUGGGCUCUCGCCCUGGGCAGCUCUAACGGCCAUCCCAUCGGAGCCAGUUCCCACAGCUGGCAGCUCUGGUGGCACCUCCCUGGACAGAGGCAGGGUGUGGGGCAGGCAGGAAGUGGUGGAGGAGGGACAGGCUGAUGGUCUGACUCAUCACCGGGUGUUGGUGGAGCAGGAAGCCAGAGGCAGGCUGGCUUGUCCCCUCUGUGGAAAGAUGGAGGAGGAAAGGUCUAGCCUCACAUGGGGGCAGGAUGUGAGGCCACCCCAUGAAGAGGUCCACCCCGCAGAAGAAACGGCUUUGGGACCUGGUCCUGCUCUGGGGUGUAGCCCUCUGCUGCCUUGCCAUUGUCCCAGUCUCCUGAGUUUGUUCAACUACAGAAUGAUGUCGAGGAAACGGGCACCAGGUGACGGAGGCGCUGAGUGGUGACCCAGGAGGCCCCAACACACGGUGCAGUACAGAUGGGGCUGAAGCCACGGAUACAGGAAUGGGAGCGUUAUAUGCACAGGACAUGCACGAGCUGCCCACAGUCAGACCAACCGGACACCAGCGCGGGCGGGUCUGACCCAGUUCCCUCCUUGUCUAACUGCAGACCGGGGCUCUCCGUGGAACGCACUGACUGCUGGGUGUGGCUGAGGGCCAGAGGGCAGGGCACAGCAUGCCCACUGUCCCCGGUCUCAGCAUGAUCCCAGGCCCUGGCCUAACAGGCCCCGCGGACUGUCUCAGCACUGGCUCCUGCCCACCUGGUCACUGUGCCCUGUUACCUGGGGA